AUUCAUCAGAUGAGUCCCAAAUAACACGAAAUGCGCGUCAUGAAU
rnacentral:hammerhead_ribozyme from 1 species